UACAGCCAUAUCACGUUGAAACACCGGUUCUCGUACUAUCACCGAUGUUAAGCAACGUCGAGCCUGGUCAUUAUCUAAAUGGGUGACCUCUUAGGAAUGCCAGGUGUUGUAA